rnacentral:rRNA from 1 species
UCUACGGGAGGCAGCAGUGGGGAAUUUUGGACAAUGGGCGAAAGCCUGAUCCAGCAAUGCCGCGUGUGUGAAGAAGCCCUGCGGGUUGUAAAGCCCUUUAAGUGGGGAAGAACGGGACGCGCUAAUACCGGACCAAGAC